AGCAGCCGCCGCGGUAAUACAGAGGGUGCGAGCGUUAAUCGGAUUUACUGGGCGUAAAGCGUGCGUAGGCGGCUUCUUAAGUCGGAUGUGAAAUCCCUGAGCUUAACUUAGGAAUUGCAUUCGAUACUGGGAAGCUAGAGUAUGGGAGAGGAUGGUAGAAUUCCAGGUGUAGCGGUGAAAUGCGUAGAGAUCUGGAGGAAUACCGAUGGCGAAGGCAGCCCCCUGGGAUAACACUGACGCUCAUGCACGAAAGCGUGGGGAGCAAACAGGAUUAGAUACCCCUGUAGUCCCUGUCUCUUAUAC
rnacentral:rRNA from 1 species